UUACGGCCAGAUCAUGUAGAAAAACUGGUUUCCGUUCGAUCGCCGAGGUUAAGCAACGUCGAGCGUGGUCAAUACUUAGAUAGGUGAAGGCUUGGGAAUAUCAG